rnacentral:ncRNA from 1 species
GUUUGUUUAACUAUGGCAAUAGGAAGUUAUAUAAUUUUAGCUGCAUAAAAUUGUUAUUUUUGGUUUGUAAAUAAGGUUUAAUUACAUGUUAUUAGCAGUUAGUUUUUCAUUUGAAUUUGCGUUUUCUAAGAAUAUUUUAUUAAAGGGGAUAGGUCACAGUGCCAGCAUCUGCGGUUAUUCUGUUUUCUUUGCUUUCAUGUGGACGAGUUGUGUUAGUUUAUCAGUUAGGUUAGGUGAAAUUUUCUUAUUUUUAUAUUGGACUUUCAUAUGUUAAUAAAUAUUUUUAGUGACAGGGAUUAGAUACCCCAUUAAUAUAAUAUUAUAUUUAGUCUUAGUUUUAUAACUAAAAUAGUUUGGCAGCAAGCUAUUCCGUUUGGGGGAAGGUGUGUUAUGAAGGACGAUCCGCCUAUUAAUUUACUUAGAUUAUGUUGGUGUAUAUCUGGUUUGAUAUUAUUGCUUUAGUAGCUUAAUUUGUGUAUAAUAAGUAUUUAAGCCAAGUCUAUGUGCUGCCUAUUUAAGUUUUCAUGCGUUACAUUUAUAAUAUAUGAUUUGUAAAAAUAUUAUAUUUAGGACUCAAUAGUAAUAUAAAUUGAAUUUGUUUAUGUGAAGGUUGGUUUAGCUUGGGUACACACCGCCCGUCACCCUCGAUUUUUGUUGAGGUAAGUCGUAACAAGGUAACUUUAAAUGAAUUUGAAGUUAAUUGCUUAUUAGC